rnacentral:rRNA from 1 species
GACGAGCGCUGGCGGCGUGCUUAACACAUGCAAGUCGAACGGAAAGGCCUCUUUCGGGGGGUACUCGAGUGGCGAACGGGUGAGUAACACGUGAGUAACCUGCCCUUGACUUUGGGAUAACUUCAGGAAACUGGGGCUAAUACCGGAUAGGAGCUCCUGCUGCAUGGUGGGGGUUGGAAAGUUUCGGCGGUUGGGGAUGGACUCGCGGCUUAUCAGCUUGUUGGUGGGGUAGUGGCUUACCAAGGCUUUGACGGGUAGCCGGCCUGAGAGGGUGACCGGCCACAUUGGGACUGAGAUACGGCCCAGACUCCUACGGGAGGCAGCAGCGGGGAAUAUUGCACAAUGGGUGGAAGCCUGAUGCAGCAACGCCGUGUGCGGGAUGACGGCCUUCGGGUUGUAAACCGCUUUCGCUCAUGACGAAGCUUUGUGUGACGGUAGUGGGUAAAGAAGCACCGGCUAACUACGUG